rnacentral:rRNA from 1 species
UGGGGAAUCUUGGACAAUGGGCGAGAGCCUGAUCCAGCCAUGCCGCGUGCAGGAAGAAGGCGUUAUGCGUUGUAAACUGCUUUUUGCCAGGGGAUAAAAAGACCGUGCGCGGUUAAUUGAAGGUACCUGGUGAAUAAGCCACGGCUAACUACGUGCCAGCAGCCGCGGUAAUACGUAGGUGGCAAGCGUUGUCCGGAUUUAUUGGGUUUAAAGGGUGCGUAGGCGGCUUCUUAAGUCUGGUGUGAAAGCCCCAGGGCUCAGCUCUGGAAGUGCACUAGAUACUGGGAAGCUUGAGUAUCGGAGGGGAGAGUGGAAUUCCUGGUGUAGCGGUGAAAUGCGUAGAUAUCAGGAGGAAUACCGGUGGCGAAAGCGACUCUCUGGACGAUUACUGACGCUGAGGCACGAAAGCGUGGGGAGCAAACAGGAUUAGAUACCCCUGUAGUCCCUGAGCGGGCUGGCAAGGCGCAU